rnacentral:lncRNA from 1 species
AAAAAAAUUGACAAAUGUAAAUUUUUUUUUUGUCCUGUAGAAUGAGAGAUUAUAUAUAAACUAGAGAGAGAGAGAGCACGACACCACAAAAACAUAAAUACAAAUCUAAGAGCCCCCAACACAAGUUUGUGGUGGAGAUCCAUCUCUCCACACUCCCACUAUACACUCCAAAUAAUCAACAAAAACCCGACACCCCAAAAUUCCAUUGACACAUACACACUGGUUGUCUCUCCUUCCCCAGGUGCAGUAUCUCCCUCACCUUCACCGGAGAAAUCAAACCCUCCGCCGGAGUACCAAAAUAUUCCAUUCAUACCCUUCUUCAUAUCAUACUUUUGUGAUUUUUGCAUGCAACACACACACACACAUAUUACAAGUAGCUAGUNNNNN